GAGAACCCAGUGCAUCCAGUGAGGAUUGUGCCAGCCACCAUCCAGCCCCUGAGAUCCAGCCGGAGGCGGCCUGGGUGGAACUUCCUGAGGUGUGCCUACAUGAUGGUCACCUUCAUCUUCGUGUCCUACAACAGAGGGGACUGGUGCUACUGCCACUAUUGUAGCCUAGAGCUGGACUUCAGACGUGACCCCUGCUGUGCUUUCUGAGGA